GACGAACCCAGCGAACGUUGUUCGGAAUCACUGGGCGUAAAGCGCACGUAGGCGGACUCUUAAGUCGGUGGUGAAAUCCUGGAGCUCAACUCCAGAACUGCCUUCGAUACUGAGAGUCUCGAGUCCGGGAGAGGUGAGUGGAACUGCGAGUGUAGAGGUGAAAUUCGUAGAUAUUCGCAAGAACACCAGUGGCGAAGGCGGCUCACUGGCCCGGUACUGACGCUGAGGUGCGAAAGCGUGGGGAGCAAACAGG
rnacentral:rRNA from 1 species